UUUAUUUGGUGUUGAGUUCAUCCUUACUGUGAAGAACCAAAUACUGAACUAGCCAGACUCAUGUAACAGGUGUAAGUUGUGAAGCCAGAUGGUGACAUGGACACUUGUCGUCCUCCCCUCUAGCUGGGAGCUAGAACAGGCCAAUACCAUUUUCUGUUCCUCCCGCUUUUUUUUGCCAUUUAUUUGAGAGGCAGAGAGACAGAACUGCCAUCUGCUGGUUCAUUCCCCACAUGUUCAUUGUGGUUGGGGCUGAGCAGAGGCCCGAGCAGGGAGCUGGGAAGUCAGUCCAGGUCCGCUAGGUGAGAAAGGGGACCCACGCACUUGAGCUACUACUGCCGCCUUCCAGGGUGUGCGUUGGCAGGAGAUGGAGUCCGAAGCAGAACUGGGGCCCCAGACCGAGGCACUCUGAGAAGGGAUACCAGGUCCCAAGUGACAUCUCAGCUGUUGUACCACAUUUUUCUUCUCCACCCACCAAUCCAUGCCAGCGUCUUUUUUUUUUUUUUUUUUUUUUAAGAUUUACUUAAUAGUUUUUAUUUGAGAAGUAGAGUUACAGACAGGGAGAGAUAGAAAGGUGUGCCAUCCACUGGUUCACUCCCCAGAUGGCCAUAAUGGCCAUAGCUGGGCCGAUCUGAAGCCAGGAGCCAGGAGCCUUCUUCCUGGUCUCCCUCAUGGGUGCAUGGGCCCAAGCACUUAGGCCAUAUCCUGUUUUCCUAGACCAUAGCAGAGAUAGAUUAGAAGAGGAGCAGUGGGGACUCAACUGGCAUGUGGGGAGCAACUCAGACUAGACUAAGUUACUGGAAUUAAGACUUAUUCUAUGCAUCUGCUCUCCCACAAUAUGGCGCUGGGAGAGGAGAAAAUAGCUUCUACACAGCUGCCUCCAGUUCAGCCAAUAAACUGUAGGACUUGCUCCUGAUUGGAGGAGAGCAGCGUACUCAGCAUGUGGGCAGCCGAGUUGGGAUUGGCGGAGGAGGACUAUAAAGGAGGAGAGAAACGGCAUGCACCAGGAACAUCUAAGGGGAACAUCUAAGGGGAACACCUGUGCAGCCCCCGAGAGAGCCGGCCGGCGGUGUGCCGCUCCCCUGCGGAAGUGGGGAAAGUGGCCAGGGGGAACCGCCCUUCCACGGAGGUGGAAGGGACAGUAGCCAACCCGGGAAGAACCAGCAGCAAACCCGGGGAGGGCCGAGCAGACAAAAGAACAGCGCAGGGUCCUGUGUCGUUCCUCCACGAAGAGGGGGAGCGACACUGGCAUGCCACCGCCACAGGCAGAGUCUUAGCCUACUACAUCACUGGCCCCCAUGCCAGUAUCUUUUUUUUUUUUGACAGGCAGAGUGGACAGUGAGAGAGAGAGACAGAGAGAAAGGUCUUCCUUUUGCCGUUGGUUCACCCUCCAAUGGCCGCCAUGGCCAGCGUGCUGUGACCAGCACACCACACUGAUCCGAUGGCAGGAGCCAGGUACUUAUCCUGGUCUCCCAUGGGGUGCAGGGCCCAAGUACUUGGGCCAUCCUCCACUGCACUCCCUGGCCACAGCAGAGAGCUGGCCUGGAAGAGGGGCAACCGGGACAGAAUCCGGCGCCCCGACCGGGACUAGAACCCGGUGUGCCGGCGCCGCAAGGCGGAGGAUUAGCCUAGUGAGCCGCGGCGCCUGCCCCCAUGCCAGUAUCUUAACCAGGGUGGGUAACUGUUAGCCCAGACACCUGCCCUAGCAGUAAUGCCUUUUUGUGUCUUUGUAGCUACCACUUCAUUGCUUCCUUAAAUUUUGUAUUUUUCCUUUUAGUAAUAUUUUUGUUAGGUUUUAUUUCUUUUAUUGUGUUUUUGAGUUUUAUAAAAAUGAUUUCAUAGUAUAGAUAGCCUUCAACAACUUUUUUUGUUCAGUAUUUAUUCAAGUUGUUUGGUAUCAUUUGUUUUCAUUGCUGCUUAAAAUAUAUUGUAAGCUAUCCUUUCUUUGUAGGCAUUUGGAUUACUUUUAGGUCUCUUUGUUUAUAAUUAUGAACAAUAUUAUGGCUUUUUAACCAUCUUUUGUCACAUGUAAGGAUUUCUCUAGGCUGUGCUGCCAGGAGAGGGAUGGCUGGCUGGCAUGCAUGGGAUGCCUCUAUUCUUCCGGGUAGUUUCUGAGAUGUUGUCCUGUUUGUGCUUGUGUUGCUGGCUUGAGUGGACCCAUUAGUUUCCACCCACAUUAACAGUGCAUAUACCCCCACCAGCACUUGCCAUUAUUGGACUGUUGACAUUUUGUGAUUUCAAAGUCUUCAUUAUGGUCCCAGUUUACAUUUGUUUAGUUUUCAGUAGUAGUAAUAUCUUACACAUGUUAGUAAAUGCAUUUACAGUAUCGUUUUCUCAACCUUUAUUUCAUUAUUACCCUGAAAAGCAGCCUUUUGUAGACCUUUCUUACUAAUCGUCACCCCACACCGCCAUUGGCUUUUGGUACCUGAUAACCUGCAUAUCUGUUUAUAUACUGUGACCCAUUGCCAGGCCCAGACGAUCGUCACAUCAGAUGCCUUCACGCUUUCCGACCAGUUUUCACUUCUGGCUCCCUUGAGAAUGCAUGCUUUAGAGCGAUUCCAUUUCAGUUGUUUUGUCUUUCAUCCUCUCUUGCUGGUGUGGCUAGGGAUCGGCAGAGGGGUUGGAUGCCUUUCAGGUUCCUGAGAGAAGCCUGGAAGGAGACAACGGAGUGUGGUGUGAGGGAACUUGGGCGGAAAAGCACAGAACCCAGGGUGGGCCUUGUGCGCUGGGUUAAGCUGCCACUGGGGAUGCCUGCAUCUCAUGUCCCAGUGCCGGGGUGUGAGUUCCCCAAGUUGGAACCCCCCCAAAAACGAGUUUAUCACGUUGAGAUCUGAUAAAACCCAGAAGCUGUGAGAAAAAGAUGGAUACAUUUGGUUGGAUAAAAUCUUAACUUAUUAGUACCUCAAAAAUUCCCACGUAAGGUGGGGCGGGAGACUCAGGAGGAUACAGUGAGAGGUGUAGAUGUUCAGUCAUCUGGAGUCUGCAGGAGUGACACAGGGUGGGGACUAGCUAAUAACAUGUCGCUCCCUUGAAGGUUGCUAACAGAAUUGAAUUAAGUAUUCUCGGACACGAGGUGAUGGAUGCGUCAGUUAUCCUGGCUGUAGUACUCAUUUCACAAUGUGUACAUAUAUCAGAACAUACUGUAACUGUGUGAUUUUGUUAAUCAUACUUUUAUUUUUUAUUUUUUUUUAUUUUUUAUUUUUUGACAGAGUGGACAGUGAGAGAGAGCGAGAGAGAGAAAGGUCUUCCUUUUGCCGUUGGUUCACCCUCCAAUGGCUGCCGCGGCCUGUGCGCUGCGGCCAGCGCACUGCGCUGAUCCGAAGGCAGAAGCCAGGUGCUUAUCCUGGUCUCCCAUGGGGUGCAGGGCCCAAGCACUUGGGCCAACCUCCACUGAACUCCCGGGCCAUAGCAGAGAGCUGGCCUGGAAGAGGGGGCAACCGGGACAGAAUCCGGCGCCCCGACCGGGACUAGAACCUGGUGUGCCGGCGCCGCUAGGUGGAUUAACCUAUUGAGCCGCGGAGCCAGCCUAAUCAUACUUUUAAAAAGCUGCAUAGGCCGGCGCCGCGGCUCACUAGGCUAAUCCUCCGCCUAGCGGCGCCGGCACACCGGGUUCUAGUCCCAGUGGGGGCGCCGGAUUCUGUCCCGGUUGCCCCUCUUCCAGGCCAGCCCUCUGCUGUGGCCAGGGAGUGCAGUGGAGGAUGGCCCAGGUGCUUGGGCCCUGCACCCCAUGGGAGACCAGGAAAAGCACCUGGCUCCUGGCUCCUGCCAUCGGAUCAGCGCGGUGCGCCGGCCGCAGCGCGCCGGCCGCGGCGGCCAUUGGAGGGUGAACCAACGGCAAAGGAAGACCUUUCUCUCUGUCUCUCUCUCUCACUGUCCACUCUGCCUGUCAAAAAAAAAAAAAAAAAAAAAAAGCUGCAUAAGCAUUUACAUGGAGAUCAGUGAACUAGGACAGAUGAUUCGCAGUGUACUUGAGGGUGACUGGUUUCCUUCAUGUAUGAGAUUCUUCAAGACAGGGGCAGUGGGUAGACGCACUGGAUAAGGGCAAAAAAGGACAUGAUUUUGCUGUGUGUAUCUGAUCUUGGGGCAGGUGCUCACCCUGACUCAGAACUAAGGAGGUAGAGAGAUGGGUAACCUGGGAAGAUGUGAAAACACACCCAGCGGUGUGGGUGCUGACAGCUCUCUGACUGUAGCCUUGCGUACGCAGAAUACUCCUGCGGAAGGCAGGAACCCAGCAAGUAGACUCGCCCUGAAAGGGAGGGGCUGAAUCGUAGCUCCUCCUUUCAGUGGAAUGAUUGACAGCUGGGAAGAGAGAACGAAGCAGCUGCGUACCCACGUGGGAGUACCCCUGAGGAGGUUAUGGGGAGAAGCACAGUGUGGUUUGGAUUCUUCCGUAGUGUUUUGUUUCUAAAUCUAUCUCUUUUUUUAAAAGAUUUAUGUAUUUGAAAGAAUGACAGAGUAGGGAGAGACAGCAUAAGAGAUUGUCCCUCUGCUGGUUCAUUCCCCAGGUGACUGCAAUAGGCAGGUGUGGGUCAGACUGAAACCAGUAGCUAGGGAGUCCGUUCUAGUCUCCCAUGUGGUUGGCAGAGGCCCAAGCGUUGGUCCUUCAUGUGCUGCCUUCCAGGCACGUUGGGGAGUUGGAUUGCAAAUGGACUAGCCCAGAGGUGAACCUGUGCUCUGAAACGGAACGCUGGCUCUGAAAAAACAUUGGCUUAACCUGCUAUGCCACAACCCCAGCUGAUUUUUUUCUUUUUUAAGAUCGUGUAUUUGAGAGAGAGACGGGGAGAGACAGAGGUGUUCCGUCCACUGGUUCAGUCUCUAAAUGCCCACAGCAGCUGGGACUGAGCCAGGAGUCCUGUAUGUCAGCUGGGUCUUCACCGUGGGCAUCAGGGACUCAAGUACUUGAGCCACCAUCUGCUGCUUCCCAGGUACAAUCGCAGGAAGCUGGAAUGGAAAUGGAGGAGCUGGGACUGGAACAAGGAACUACAGUGUGGGAUGUGGCGUUCCAAGCAUCAGUUUAACCCGCAACACGCCCCUGGUGUUUGUUGUUGUUUCUUAUUUGAGAGGCAGAGAAGGGGUCAAAAAAAUAAAAAAAAAGAAAGAAAAAACUUAGGUUUAAAAGGCAGAGUUAGAUGGAGAAACAGAGAGAUCUUCCAUCUGCUGGUCACUCCUCAAAUGGCCACAAAGGCCAAGGCUGGAUCAGGCUGAAACCAGGAGCUUAGAACUCCGUCUGGGUCUCACGUGUGGGUGACAGGGGCCCAAGCACUAGGGCCAUCACCUGCUGUUCCCCAGGCCAUUCACUUGGCUGGAAGCCGAGCAGCUGGGGCUGACUGGUGCUCAUGUGGGAUGCUCGCAUCGCAGGCGGCAGCAGACCCUGUGCCACAGUGCAUGCUCCCUCCCAGUGGGUGCUGGGUGCUGCUGCUGGCUUUUUUUUUUUUUAAUAUUUAUUUAUCUAUUUGAAAAGCAAAGAGUUACAGAGAGGCAGAGGCAGAGAGACAGAAAUCUUCCAUCCGCUGGUUUACUCCUCAAGUGGCCAGAGCUGGGCUGAUCAGGAGCUUCCUCCAGGUCUCUCACGAGGGUGCAGGGGCCCAAGGACUUGGGCCAUCUUCCACUGCUUUCCCAGGCCACAGCAGAGAGCUGGAUUGGAAGUGGAGCAGCUAGGACUCAAGCUGGUACCCAUAUGGGAUGCCGGCACUGCAGGCAGCAGCUUUACCCAUUAAGCCACAGUGCCGGCCCCAAGGAUACUUCUUUUUUUAAAAAAGAUGUAUUUAUUUGAAAGGCACAUAUAGAGAAAGAGAGCGAGAUCUUCCAUUCACUGCUUCACUCCUCAAAUGGCUGCAAUAACUGGAGCUGGGCUGAGCUACAAGGUAGCAGCCAGAGCUGCUUCUAGGUCUCACGUGGGUGGCAGGGCCCAAGUGAUGGGGCUUUCACUGCUCCCAGGCACAUCACUCGGAGCUGUGCUGGAAGUGGAUCAGCCAUACGGAGUGCUGCAGCUGUAGGCAGCAGCUUUACCCUCUGCGCCACAGCGCCAGCCCCUGUGGAUGCUUCUGUGUAGCACUGAGCAGUCACUUCUCCACGCAGGUUAGGGUUACCUGUAAGCCCUGACAGGUUCAGAAAUUAAUAUCAUUAUUUUUAUUUUAUUUGAAAGGCAGGUAGAGGUGUCUUCCAUCCACUGAUUCACAUCCUGCAUCAGGUGGGCCUGAGCCAUGCUGAAGGUGGGAUCCUGUGUCUCCCACAAAGGUGGCAGGGACCUGAGUCCUUGGCCAUUGGGCACCCCUCUCAGCGUGUUCGUUAGCAGGAAGUCCUGAGAGCGGACAGGAUGCCAGCUGGCACUCUGAUGUAGUACAAGGUGUCUUCACUGGUGUUUCAAUGGCUAUACUGAAUGCCCACACCUAAAAUAUAUUUGUUUGUUUUUUCAACGAAUGGUAUUUUUUAAAAAACCUUAUCUUUUUUUAAGAUUUAUUUAUUUGAAAGGCAGAGCAAUAGGGAGAGAAGGAGACAGAAAAAGAGAGCUUCCAUCUGCGUGUUCAUUCCCUAAAUGCCUGCUACUGCAAGACUGAGCCAGGUGGAAGCCCAGAACUCCAUCUAGGUCUCCCACAUGGGUGGGACUCGCAGGGAACCAGUUACUUGGGCUGUUGUCCACGACCUCCCAAGGUGCAGUUUAGCCCGAAGUUUGAAUUGGACGUAGAACCAGGAUUGGAAUCCAGGAGCUGUGUUGUGGGAUGUGGGUGUCAGAAGCAACAGCGGAACCCACUACACCACCAUGCUGGCUCCAGCAGCCCGGUUCUUAAAUGCUGUACACUGAUCACCCACCUGGAUGGCAGGGGCCCAAGCACUUGGACCAUCUUGCACUGCCAUGAGCAGGGAACAGGAUCACAAGUGGAACAGCUGGGAUACGAACCAGACCCCAUAUAGGAUGUCAGUGUCCAGGCGGUGGCUUUACUCACUGUACCACAGCUGACUGGCCAUGGUUGGUUGACCUUUUAACCGUUUCAGUGUUGGGGCACAGCGGGCUGAGCCACUGCCUACAGCACUCCAGUUAAAGUCCUGGCUGCUACAUUUUAAGGAUUUAUUUUUUGAAAGAGAGGAGAGGGCCAGCGUCGUGGCUUACUUGGUUAAUCCUCUGCCUGCGGCGCUGGCAUCCUAUAGGGGCAACCGGGACAGAAUCCAGUGCCCCGACCGGGACUAGAACCCGGUGUGCUGGUGCUGCAAGGCGGAGGAUUAGCCUAGUGAACCCUGGGGCAGGCCUCCUUUAUUUAUUUUAAAGGCAGAGUUACAGAGAGGCAGAGGUCUUCAUCAGCUGGUUCACUCCCCAAAUGGCCACAGGGCUGGAGCUGUGCCGAUUAGGAGCCAGGAGCUUCUUCCGGGUCUCCCACGCAGGUGCAGGGGCCCAAGGACUUGGGCCAUCUGUACUACUUUCCCAGGCCACAACAGAGAGCUGCAUCAGAAGUGGAGCAGCCAAGGGGCUGGUGCUGUGGCGCAGUAGGCUAAUCCUCUGCUGCAGUGCUAGCAUCUCUUUGAGUGCCAGUUCUCUAAGAUUGAUUUAUUUAUUUAUUUGAAAGGCAAGAGUUAGAGAGGCAGAGGGAGCGAGAGAUAUCUUAAAUCUGCUGGUUCAUUUCCCAAUUGGCUGCAGUGGCCGGAGCUGUGCCAAUAUGAAGCCAGGAGCUUCUUCCAGGUCUCUCACGUGGGUGCCGCAGCCGAAGCACUUGGGCCAUCUUCUGCUGUCCCAGGCCAUAGCAGAGGGCUGGAUUGGAAGCAGAGCAGCCGGGACUUGAACUGGCACCCACAUGGGAUGCCAGCACCGCAGGCGCCGGCCCCAGUGGUUUGUUUUAAGACACUUCUUUUUGUAGAAAAUUUCCAGUAUGAAAGUAAAAGUAAUUGCAAAAUGAAUUGGUCACUGUGUGCCCAUCGCCUACCUUCAGCUGUGAUGAGCGCAGGGCCAGAUAUGUCUCCCCUUUGUUCCCACUUCUCAGGAAACUCAGACUUUCCAGGACUUGAGGUUUCAUCUAUAAAUAGUUCAGAUUUUGAAGUUCCCUUUACCCGUAUACAAAACCUGGAAUAUCCUUGGUUGUAAUCGAAUCUACUUAGCAUCUUUUUUUUUUAUUUUUAAUGUAUGGGAAAAUUUACAGAUUUGAGCAGAGUAGUUAAUGACACUUACUGACACGACGACUAUUUUGUUUUAUCUUUAUCUUGCUGUCUUUUUUUUCCUGACUGGAUCUUUGCAACAUAUUUUUUGUUGUUGUUUAUUUGAAAGGCAUGUGAGAGAGGUUUCUUCUGUUUUCUGGUUCACACCCUGAAAGCCUGCAACAGCUAGAGCUGGAAGCCAGGAGCUUGGAACUCAGUCCCGGUCUCCCAUGGGAGAGGCAAGGACCGAGUACUUGGCCUCAGCUGCUGCUUCCAGCGUGUGUGUUAGAGACGGGUGGGCUGGGAAGUGCAUGCAGGACCUGAACCCAGCGGCUUCCCUGGGGCGGGGGCAUCCUUGCAGCAUCUUCUGCCGAGCCAAAGGCCCCUCCCUGCUGGCUUGUUUUAUAGCCGCUCAUGGAGAGAGAACUCCUUCCGUAAGUACUGCAGACUGUGUGUCCAAGGCAUACAGAUUACACUGCUGCUUGACAGUUGUGAAUGUCACAUUCAUUCUGGGAAAAUGUCUGAUUGCCUCAAAACUUUUUAAUAGUUUGACCCAGGAUGUAAAGGGUUAUACACCAGAAUGCUUUUGUAAGUCUUUUUAAUCAAAUUGUUGAAUUAAAUUUUAAAGCUUUUCUUU